CUUAUGCGAUGGCAAUCGGUAGUCUAAAUGUUACAUUUCGCCUUUCCUCGUCCCUUUUUGGGUUGAUGUAAGGUGAACCACGAAGUAAUCUCUGUGUCCCACUCUUCUCACAUUGAUUUGUGCUUGUAGUGUGGUGCAUAGGGCAUUUGCUUGAUCUCUUGGAUGCGGUGCAUUAUAUAUGGGCAUGAGGUCUCACGUCCUCUUUUUGCCCGAACAAAAGCUUUCAUCGCUUAGUUGCGAACGAUUGCGAUCCCUGUUUCGAGCCUUUUGGCAAGUACGGUGAUGGCUUCGUUGAGG
rnacentral:misc_RNA from 1 species